rfam:Nicotiana sylvestris Nsyl_contig146604, whole genome shotgun sequence.
GGAUGCGAUCAUACAGGCACUAACGCACCGGAUCCCAUCAGAACUCCUAAGUUAAGUGGGUUUGGGUGAGAGUAGUACUAGCAUAGGUGAUCCCUUGGGAAGUCCUCGUGUUGCAUCCU